rfam:Staphylococcus chromogenes MT 970 SCHR_MT970Contig29, whole genome shotgun sequence.
UUUAUGGAGAGUUUGAUCCUGGCUCAGGAUGAACGCUGGCGGCGUGCCUAAUACAUGCAAGUCGAGCGAACUGACGAGGAGCUUGCUCC